GACGAACGCUGGCGGCGUGCCUAGUACAUGCAAGUUGAGCGCUGAAGGUUGGUACUUGUACCGACUGGAUGAGCAGCGAACGGGUGAGUAACGCGUGGGGAAUCUGCCUUUGAGCGGGGGACAACAUUUGGAAACGAAUGCUAAUACCGCAUAAAAACUUUAAACACAAGUUUUAAGUUUGAAAGAUGCAAUUGCAUCACUCAAAGAUGAUCCCGCGUUGUAUUAGCUAGUUGGUGAGGUAAAGGCUCACCAAGGCGAUGAUACAUAGCCGACCUGAGAGGGUGAUCGGCCACAUUGGGACUGAGACACGGCCCAAACUCCUACGGGAGGCAGCAGUAGGGAAUCUUCGGCAAUGGACGAAAGUCUGACCGAGCAACGCCGCGUGAGUGAAGAAGGUUUUCGGAUCGUAAAACUCUGUUGGUAGAGAAGAACGUUGGUGAGAGUGGAAAGCUCAUCAAGUGACGGUAACUACCCAGAAAGGGACGGCUAACUACGU
rnacentral:rRNA from 1 species